CCUACGGGAGGCAGCAGUGGGGAAUAUUGCACAAUGGGGGAAACCCUGACGCAGCAACGCCGCGUGAGUGAAGAAGGCCUUCGGGUCGUAAAGCUCUGUCAAGGGGGAAAAAAUCCUUUCGAUAAAUAGUCAUUAAGGACUGAUGGUACCCCUAGAGGAAGCACCGGCUAACUCCGUGCCAGCAGCCGCGGUAAU
rnacentral:rRNA from 1 species